rnacentral:rRNA from 1 species
GAUGAACGCUGGCGGCGUGCCUAAUACAUGCAAGUCGAGCGAAGCGGGGACGGGUGAGUAACAUGUGGAUAACCUCCUAUAAGACUGGGAUAACUUCGGGAAACCGGAGCUAAACCGGAUACUUAGAGAUGGAUCCGCGCUGCAUUAGCUAGUUGGUAAGGUAACGGCUUACCAAGGCAACGAUGCAUAGCCGGCCUGAGAGGAUGAUCGGCCACACUGGAACGGAGACACGGUCCAGACUCCUACGGGAGGCAGCAGUAGGGAAUCUUCCGCAAUGGGCGAAAGCCUGACGGAGCCACGCCGCGUGUGUGAUGAAGGUCUUCGGAUCGUAAAACUCUGUUAGUAGGGAAGCGGUACCUAAUCAGAAAGCCACGGCUAACUACGUGCCAGCAGCCGCGGUAAUUC